AGGUCUGGACCAUUAUAUCUGGGGAGGAGGGGGGAGCAGGACCCUGGAGGUCUGGACCAUUAUAUUUAGGGAGGAGGGAGGAGCAGGAUCCUGGAGGUCUGGACCAUUAUAUAUGGGGAGGGGGAGCAGGAC